rnacentral:rRNA from 1 species
CCUACGGGUGGCAGCAGUGGGGAAUAUUGGACAAUGGGGGCAACCCUGAUCCAGCCAUGCCGCGUGUGUGAAGAAGGCCCUCGGGUUGUAAAGCACUUUCAGUGAGGAAGAACGCCUGGUGGUUAAUACCCAUCAGGAAAGACAUCACUCACAGAAGAAGCACCGGCUAACUCCGUGCCAGCAGCCGCGGUAAUACGGAGGGUGCGAGCGUUAAUCGGAAUUACUGGGCGUAAAGCGCGCGUAGGUGGCUUGAUAAGCCGGUUGUGAAAGCCCCGGGCUCAACCUGGGAACGGCAUCCGGAACUGUCAAGCUAGAGUGCAGGAGAGGAAGGUAGAAUUCCCGGUGUAGCGGUGAAAUGCGUAGAGAUCGGGAGGAAUACCAGUGGCGAAGGCGGCCUUCUGGACUGACACCGACACUGAGGUGCGAAAGCGUGGGUAGCAAACAGGAUUAGAUACCCUUGUAGUC